GUUGCGUCAUGUCGCGCCGCGUUCAAAAUCAGCGCCAGAUUAAGCGCGAUUGCGGGAAAGGAAGAAGAAAGAUGAAAACGAAAGAAUUAGACUGUGUUCCGUUGGACUACAACAAGUUCUCGUUAAAGAAUCGUCUUGUUAUAUAUAAUAUUGGGCACAAAUUCAUCCGGAUGUGAAAUAAGAAAUAUAACUUUCGUUCAUGAAUAAGUCAACAGUGACUUAAUUAUAUCUGUGAAAUGAUCUUUUAAAUUCCAAGAGAUGUUACAUAUGGUAUUAAAAAAUUAAUAAAUAAUAAAAUUUUUUCAGAAUUAUAGGUUAAUUGAGUAACAUAUUAUAGAGGAUAAUAAAUGAGACACUUCUUGUUCAAUAAAUAUAUGUCCUAUUUUGCUCUGUUUUUCUAGUAAUGGAGCUUCAACGAUAAAGGAGUUAAACGCCUAACAUCAGGCAGUCCGCUAUACAAUUUUCUGAGGCGCGAUGUUCGAAGUAUACAUUUUCCCUUUCCCUUUAAGGUACAAUUAGAUAGAUGUUUAUUGGGUAAAAAUGUUCAUCUUUAAACUAUCUAUUAUUUCCAAAUUUUCAAACCAUUGAUUAUAUUUAUAAUUCAUUAACAUUGUGAAAUUCUUGUAAUUGUUUUUAUUAUUAUUUUAAAUUAAUCAAAUUGUGCUCAAGUUUGUUACAUAACAUAAGUUUAAUGCUCUUUAUAAUUUUUUGAAAUUCUCUACAAUAAUUAUGUAUUCGUUCAAGGAUUUUUCUUCAGUUCUGGUUAUUAUAGAUGACACAAUCGGAAGUAUUGGAAAUGGAAUUUUCAAUUCCAUUGUACGAGAAACUUGAUGGAAUUCACCUUUAAUUGACUGCCCAGGAUAUGAAAGAUUAUUCUAGUUAUAUUUAUCUCAUUUUCUUACAAACAAAGGAAUUCUCUAUCUGCUAUUAUUCUGAUGAGUCAAAUGAUUGAGCAAUCCGGCAUAUAUAUGUAUAUGCUAUUACAAUAAUUUUUGGAAAAUGGCUUAAUUUUUCAAAAUCAGUUAUUACUAUGUUUAUUAGUGUAUUCAUUAUAUUAUAAUGACCUCAUAUUAACA